GACGAACGCUGGCGGCGUGCUUACCACAUGCAAGUCGAACGAGUGGCGAACGGGUGAGUAAUACGUGGGAACCUGCCCGAUGGAGGGGGAUAACUACUGGAAACGGUAGCUAAUACCGCAUACCAUCGGAUGUGCCCCGAUGGGAUUCGCUAGUAGGUGGGGUAACGGCUCAACUAGGCGACGAUCCCUAGCUGGUCUGAGAGGAUGACCCGCCACACUGGAACUGAGACACGGUCCAGACUCCUACGGGAGGCAGCAGUGGGGAAUAUUGCACAAUGGGCGCAAGCCUGAGGCAGCCAUGCCGCGUGUAUGAAGAAGGCCUUCGGGUUGUAAAGUACUUUCAGCGGGGAGGCGUUACCCGCAGAAGAAGCACCGGCUAACUCCGUGCCAGCAGCCGCGGUAAUAC
rnacentral:rRNA from 1 species